GAGAUUCUAUGCACAGAGUGUGCAUCUCACCUGGACGGAGAACUGCCAUACGAUCGAGGGAGCUGAGCAACGCACAUCCAAGCAGAGUAGCGAUGGGACCUACACCCUGGAAGGCUUGCAUUUGGUGAACAGUGUCAGGGCCGGGGUCCGAGCAGGUGCUCACCUGUAAGGUGCAGCACGAGACCCAACCUCCCAUCCAGGCCAGCCUCAUACUGUCUGCGGAAGCACACGGCACAUACAAGCCCAUCGGAAGCUCAGGUCCCGAGAUGCCUGCCCUUAUCUUUGUGACAUUCCUUCUGGGCUUCAAGGUGCUGCUGGCGAUGAGUUUCAUAGUCACCUACAUCUGCGGGUGGCGGAGCCGGUAACAGCUCCUGCAUGAACUGCAAUACAUUGCCUCCCGUCCUGUGCAAGAGGCUCACACAGGGGAGAACCUGCCCCCCAUCCCCCGCCUUCCAUCCUGGAUAUGCCCCCUUCCCCACACCCUCCUGAUGGUCCUUCUCUCUGAGCAGAGUCCUGAUGUUCCGCUCUCUUCAGAGCAAAGUCAAGGAUGGACCCUCGUCUCAAGGACCCAGAGACCCUGAUGCACUGAGCUUCACACUGGCCCUGCCUCUACCCCAAAGACAAUCAAGAGGGUCAAGAAAAGAAGGUUCCCAUUCUGUCUGUGAUGAGAAACAGCCUUUCAAUUUCAGAGCACACUUUACCUUUCUUUUUUAAAUGUUAAUUCCAGUAUAGUUAACAUACAGUGUUAUUAUAGUUUCAGGUGUACAAAAAUAGUAUUCAGCAAUUCUAUACAUUACUCAGUGUUCAAAAUGUAAGUGUACUCCUAAUCCCCUUGGUCUGCUUAACCCAUCCCCCCCACUUCCCCACUUACCUCCCCUCUGGUAACUAUCAGUUUGUUCUCUAUAGCUACGAGCCUGUUUUUUGGUUUGACUCU